UACGUAGGGGGCAAGCGUUGUCCGGAUUUAUUGGGCGUAAAGAGCUCGUAGGCGGUUUGGUAAGUCUGGUGUGAAAUCUCCACGCUCAACGUGGAGGGGCCACCCGAUACUGCCAUGACUGGAGUCCGGUAGAGGAGUGUGGAAUUCCCGGUGUAGCGGUGAAAUGCGCAGAUAUCUGGAGGAACACCGGUGGCGAAGGCGGCGUUCUGGACUGCAACUGACACUGAGGAACGAAAGCCAGGGGAGCAAACGGG
rnacentral:rRNA from 1 species